GUACUAUAUAUAAUAUUUUAUUUACAAGAUUAUUUUUUUCUAGUUCAGAAUUGAGGGUCUUCCAGGGGGAGGGGGUUAGGGCGGAGGCACUUAGAAUUAUAUCAACCAGUUAUGACAGUUCUCAGUUAUAUAGAUGAGAUUCAUACUAAUUUCACAUAAAUUAUAGUUCAUAUAUAUAGUCUAUAUUUAUUUUUUUAAUGUUUUUAUAUCAUAUUGCGUCUAUCUAUACAAGCUAGGUAUAUAGUUUGUUUUUUUUUAUCAAGGAAUUCCUGCUCCUGACGGCGUUCGUUAGUGCAGUAAUACUCAAACCUCAUAACCAAGCCCUAAGUUUAUUAAACACUAUUUUGUCUCCAAUUGGCGAAGCUUCCACUUGAAAAAAUAGUGAAAUUCAUACAAUGGAAUUUGCAAUGGACCAUUUGCAUUAUAGACUAAAUUUUGAUCUAAACAAGUCUAGACAAAAAUUUCAUCACAGAAGAGCAUCACAAAAUUAGUAAUAUUCCAAAGUUUCGUUGCGAAAUGUUGUAAAAUGCGGAUAAUAUAGCCUUGCGAAGUUUGCCGUUUUUCAGUCAUUUUGUAUUACACACGGGAAAUUGACAGCCCCAAGAGGGUAUUGGGCUGUCAAUUUCCCCCGCGUAAUACAAAAUGACUGAAAAACGGCAAACUUCGCAAGGCAGUGUUCAUCCAAUCGGAGAAACAUGUUAUCCUAAAUGGACUCGAUUUAUUAGGCGAGUGAGUAAAUUGCAAAUUUUAAUAAUGAAAAUUUUUAAAAUGGUGCAUGUUUUCUAAAUCUGCUAAGAAAAGCUUCGUAACUGCUUAAAGACAUCUCUCCUCCCGAUCUCCUUUAAGAAACGCCAGCAACUCUGUAUAUCUGCUUUUAAGAGCAUCGUGGUAAUAUAGAUUUUAUCCGCUCACUCGUAUGUUUAUAUCCGUUGUCACGAAAUUAACGUUUUUAGAUAACUAACAUGCCCAGUUACCACUGUUCUUAUGAUGAAAAUGCUGCUUUCAGAAUUUAAUAUAACUACGAAUUACCUCAACAUUCACAUAUUCAAUUUUGCGCAAAACUAAAUGCUGUCCUUUAAUUCAUUUAGUUAUUUCAUGAGAAAUUUUUAAAUGGAUUUAGAUUUUUCCGUGCAUGUACCGUAUACGCACGUGUGAACAGCGCUUAACUGCAAAACAGCCUCAAAUAUAGAAUGGAUUGAAUGGAACAAAGAUAACCAAGCAUUUAAAUUAUAUGUGUGAGUGAAGGACCAUUCUCCAAUUAACCAAAAUUUUGAUCUCAACAAGUCUAGACAAAAUUCCACCAUAGCAUGAAAGAGCA